UACGUAGGGUGCGAGCGUUGUCCGGAAUUAUUGGGCGUAAAGAGCUCGUAGGCGGUGUGUUACGUCGGCCGUGAAAACCUGCAGCUUAACUGUGGGCGUGCGGUCGAUACGGGCAUCACUGGAGUUCGGCAGGGGAGACUGGAAUUCCUGGUGUAGCGGUGGAAUGCGCAGAUAUCAGGAGGAACACCGGUGGCGAAGGCGGGUCUCUGGGCAGUAACUGACGCUGAGGAGCGAAAGCGUGGGGAGCGAACAGG
rnacentral:rRNA from 1 species